ACUCCUACGGGAGGCAGCAGUAGGGAAUAUUGGGCAAUGGGCGCAAGCCUGACCCAGCGACGCCGCGUGAGGGAUGAAGGUCUUCGGAUUGUAAACCUCUUUCAGUAGGGAAGAAGCGAAAGUGACGGUACCUAAAGAAGAAGCACUGGCUAACUAUGUGCCAGCAGCCGCGGUAAUAC
rnacentral:rRNA from 1 species